AAUAGAUACCCAGGUAGUCCACGCCGUAAACGAUGUCGACUUGGAGGUUGUUCCCUUGAGGAGUGGCUUCCGGAGCUAACGCGUUAAGUCGACCGCCUGGGGAGUACGGCCGCAAGGUUAAAACUCAAAUGAAUUGACGGGGGCCCGCACAAGCGGUGGAGCAUGUGGUUUAAUUCGAUGCAACGCGAAGAACCUUACCUACUCUUGACAUCCACGGAACUUAGCAGAGAUGCUUUGGUGCCUUCGGGAACCGUGAGACAGGUGCUGCAUGGCUGUCGUCAGCUCGUGUCGUGAAAUGUUGGGUUAAGUCCCGCAACGAGCGCAACCCUUAUCCUUUGUUGCCAGCGGUUAGGCCGGGAACUCAAAGGAGACUGCCAGUGAUAAACUGGAGGAAGGUGGGGAUGACGUCAAGUCAUCAUGGCCCUUACGAGUAGGGCUACACACGUGCUACAAUGGCGCAUACAAAGAGAAGCGACCUCGCGAGAGCAAGCGGACCUCAUAAAGUGCGUCGUAGUCCGGAUUGGAGU
rnacentral:rRNA from 1 species